UACGGAGGGUGCGAGCGUUGUCCGGAAUCACUGGGCGUAAAGGGCGCGUAGGUGGCGCGGGCAGUCAACGGUGAAAGCUCGGGGCUCAACCCCGAGUCGGCCGUCGAUACUCCCGUGCUUGAGCACUGUAGAGGCAGGUGGAAUUCCGGGUGUAGCGGUGGAAUGCGUAGAGAUCCGGAAGAACACCGGUGGCGAAGGCGGCCUGCUGGGCAGUAGCUGACACUGAGGCGCGACAGCGUGGGGAGCAAACAGG
rnacentral:rRNA from 1 species